UCCCUGGCAGUCCAGUGGUUAAGACUCUGUGCUUCCAAUGCAAGGGGCUCAGGUUCGAUCCCUGGUUGGGGAA
rfam:TPA: Bos taurus chromosome 22, whole genome shotgun sequence.